CAACCUUCAGUGAUGAAUGUCUUGGCUCAAGUGACGAUGAAGGGCGUUGCGAAGCACGAAAGACGCUGCAACUUGCGAAAUUCCGAGAGUUAGUAGGACCUUGAACGCACACUCUGCCCUCAGGGCGCGCUGAGGGUAUGCCUCCUUUGGUGCCUAGA
rnacentral:rRNA from 1 species